GGGUGAUAUAUUUCCGACAAUGGACUGAAAGUCCUGACGCGAGCCACUGCCGCGUGAGGGAUGAAGGCUUUCGGGUUUUAAAACUCUUUUGUUAGGGAAGAACAAGUACUUUCUUAACUGCUUGGGCCUUGACGGUACCUAAACAAAAAGCCCCGGCUAACUUCGUGCCCCCAGCCGCUAUAAAUAUUUAACAG
rnacentral:rRNA from 1 species